rnacentral:rRNA from 1 species
UACGAAGGGGGCUAGCGUUGCUCGGAAUUACUGGGCGUAAAGGGCGCGUAGGCGGAUAGUUAAGUCAGAGGUGAAAGCCCAGGGCUCAACCCUGGAAUUGCCUUUGAUACUGGCUAUCUUGAGUAUGGGAGAGGUGAGUGGAACUCCGAGUGUAGAGGUGAAAUUCGUAGAUAUUCGGAAGAACACCAGUGGCGAAGGCGACUCACUGGCCCAUUACUGACGCUGAGGCGCGAAAGCGUGGGGAGCAAAC